UAGGGAAUCUUCCGCAAUGGACGCAAGUCUGACGGAGCAACGCCGCGUGAGUGAAGAAGGAUUUCGGUUCGUAAAACUCUGUUGUUAGAGAAGAACAGCGCAUAGAGUAACUGUUAUGCGUGUGACGGUAUCUAACCAGAAAGCCACGGCUAACUACGUGCCAGCAGCCGCGGUAAUACGUAGGUGGCAAGCGUUGUCCGGAUUUAUUGGGCGUAAAGCGAGCGCAGGCGGUCAAUUAAGUCUGAAGUUAAAGGCAGUGGCUCAACCAUUGUAGGCUUUGGAAACUGUUUAACUUGAGUGCAGAAGGUGCGAGUGGAAUUCCAUGUGUAGCGGUUACAUGCGUAGAUAUAUGGAGGAACACCGGUGGCGAAAGCGGCUCUCUGGUCUGUAACUGACGCUGAGGCUCGAAAGCGUGGGGAGCGAACAGG
rnacentral:rRNA from 1 species